GACGAACGCUGGCGGCGUGCCUAAUACAUGCAAGUCGACCUUAGUGGCGAACGGGUGAGUAACACGUGGGUAACCUGCCCAUCAGAAGGGGAUAACACUUGGAAACAGGUGCUAAUACCGUAUACUGAUGGAUGGACCCGCGGUGCAUUAGCUAGUUGGGGAGGUAACGGCGCACCAAGGCCACGAUGCAUAGCCGGGCUGAGAGGGUGGUCGGCCACAUUGGGACUGAGACACGGCCCAAACGCCUACGGGAGGCAGCAGUAGGGAAUCGUCGGCAAUGGGAGAAAGUUUGACCGAGGAAAGCCGCGGGAGUGAAGAAGGUGUUCGGAUCGGAAAACUCUGGUGUUAGAGAAGAGGUAUCUAACCAGAAAGCCACGGCUAACUACGUGCCAGCAGCCGCGGUAAUAC
rnacentral:rRNA from 1 species